AUGCGCGCACGGGCUCCUGGCCCUCAGGGCGCACCCGCGUUAUCUGUGGGCGCGCAGCGAUGGCGUGGGCGCACCUCGGGCACUCAGCGCGCACCCCUGUCGCACGCACAGCCCUCCAGCGCUCAGCUCGCACCCAUGGUGCCACAGCCCUGUGGCACGCACACACCUCGGCCAUCAACACACACCUACAGCACGCACACCCCUCCAGCACUCGGGCUCACCGAUGGCACACACACACACAACACACACAUACACGCACACAUUUACACUCCUCCAGCACUCAGGGGCUCACUGAUGGCACACACACACACACAUACACGCACACACAUACACGCACACAUUUACACUCCUCCAGCACUCAGGGGCUCACUGAUGGCACACACACACACACAUACACGCACACACAUACACGCACACAUUUACACUCCUCCAGCACUCAGGGGCUCACUGAUGGCACACACACACACACAUACACGCACACACAUACACGCACACAUUUACACUCCUCCAGCACUCAGGGGCUCACUGAUGGCACACACACACACACAUACACGCACACACAUACACGCACACAUUUACACUCCUCCAGCACUCAGGGGCUCACUGAUGGCACACACACACACACAUACACGCACACACAUACACGCACACAUUUACACUCCUCCAGCACUCAGGGGCUCACUGAUGGCACACACACACACACAUACACGCACACACAUACACGCACACAUUUACACUCCUCCAGCACUCAGGGGCUCACUGAUGGCACACACACACACACAUACACGCACACACAUACACGCACACAUUUACACUCCUCCAGCACUCAGGGGCUCACUGAUGGCACACACACACACACAUACACGCACACACAUACACGCACACAUUUACACUCCUCCAGCACUCAGGGGCUCACUGAUGGCACACACACACACACAUACACGCACACACAUACACGCACACAUUUACACUCCUCCAGCACUCAGGGGCUCACUGAUGGCACACACACACACAUACACGCGCACAUGCAUAGACACACACACAUAUGCAUAUACACACACACAUACACGCGCACAUGCAUAG
rnacentral:lncRNA from 1 species